AUACGGAGGAUCCGAGCGUUAUCCGGAUUUAUUGGGGUUAAAGGGUGCGCAGGCGGCCAUUUAAGUCAGCGGUUAAAUCGUGGGGCUCAACCCCAUUCUGCCGUUGAUACUGGGUGGCUUGAUUGCGGUCGAGGUUGGCGGAAUUCGUUGUGUAGGGGGGAAAUGCAUAGAUAUGACGAAGAACACCGAUUGCGUAGGCAGCUGACCAGACCGCAAAUGACGCUCAUGCACGAAAGUGCGGGGAUCGAACAGGAUUAUAUACCCUGGUAGUCCGCACAGUAAACGAUGAAUACUUGUUUUCGGCGAUAUAAUGUCGGAGGCAAAGCGAAAGCGAUAAGUAUUCCACCUGGGGAGUACGCCGGCAACGGUGAAACUCAAAGGAAUUGACGGGG
rnacentral:rRNA from 1 species